CUCUUUGAGGUGGUGACCAUAGACCUGCAUUAUAUGACUGACAGACAAGAACGGUUUGACCUAAAAAUAUCAAAAUGGAAAAUACUGUGGAAACAAAGACACCUACAUCUUGGAUGCCCUUGAGGAAACACCGGACCUACUGGACCCUUUCUGGUUGGUUGUAGGCUAUAGAGGCACCUGUCAGAACACAUGGAGAGGAAGUUUGCAGUGGUGCGGUGGAGUGAAGGGGAGGAUUUUGGGAAGCUCAGUGACAUAAAAACUGAUGCCAUAAGGGGGUAUGAUGAUUCCAAGAUGGACCAGGAUGGGAAUCCCUUUGCCACCUACUCAGCCGUAAUUGAAUGGCGCCAUGGGAGGAAACAACGAGGAGGCUGGCCUCACUACAGAGGCACUGUCAUUUUUGUUAGUGCUACUCGUUUUGAGACAAUCCGUAAACUGAACUCACUGCUGAAGGAAGAAGAACCUACAGAGCUGACAAAGAGGGCCUCAGUGGCCCCCCAAAAAUAUGGGGACUAUUCAGAUUGCUCAACUGAUAUUGAAACUCAGUCUCAGCAAGCAAAGAAGUCAAAGGCUCCCAGGAGGAUAGACCCUGCAGAAGAGUUUCUUAGGCUAUACGGUCAAUCACAGCCUUCUUCAGAUAAUCACAACAGUCCGACUCAGACUGUGGUUGAAUUAAAGCAGGAGAUCAAGGACCUGAAAGAAGAGAACGCGAAGUUGAAGGAGAUUGUUCUUCAAGAUGUGCCAGGACUCCUACUGAGCUUGAGGAAUAUAAUAGAUUCGGCUGCACCUCCUAAGAGAUCCAGGGUGGAGCCUACCAAAGCAUUACCGGCCCUUCCAGGGUCUCCGCAGUCCAGGUCCAGUUCUCCAUGUGCCACUUCGCUGUCCCUCCCCAGAUCUACGCUGUCCAGUUCCACAUCUGUGUCUCCAUCCCUGACUGCCUCCCAUUCUUCUAAGGUUGAGAUCCAUCCUGGGACCGGAGUCAUGGUUGAGAAACUGGCGUGGGCCUAUGCCAUCAAUGCCAAUUCGGCAACAGUCUUUGUGAGACAUCUGCUCACCGCAGUCUUUCCAGUGGAAAUACUGCUGGUGCAACUCUUGAGAAGUGGCCUGGGACCCAGCUUUCCAGCAGUGGAAGUACGAUCAAUGCCAAGAUUACAGAACUCCGGUCAAAAAGUAAAAAUGCUGAAAUAAAGAGUCCUCAUCUGCCUGCACUUGAGUCUUCGCCUCUUACGAUCCGUGACAGUACAAACGAGCCCUUUGAAGAUUCAGCGGCGAUGCAGAUUUUCUUAUACCCAGCUCCCGGACGACUGAGGAUCCAG
ensembl:lncRNA